CAGUCGCCGCGGUAAUACGAAGGGGGCUAGCGUUGCUCGGAAUCACUGGGCGUAAAGCGCACGUAGGCGGAUCGUUAAGUCAGAGGUGAAAGCCUGGAGCUCAACUCCAGAACUGCCUUUGAUACUGGCGAUCUCGAGUCCGGAAGAGGUAAGUGGAACUGCGAGUGUAGAGGUGAAAUUCGUAGAUAUUCGCAAGAACACCAGUGGCGAAGGCGGCUUACUGGUCCGGUACUGACGCUGAGGUGCGAAAGCGUGGGGAGCAAACAGGAUUAGAUACCCCCGUAGUCCCUGUCUCUUAUAC
rnacentral:rRNA from 1 species